AGCUCGUGUUGUUUUGGGACCCUCUUCUUGGUUGGACCCUUCUUUGUCGAGUUCUCUGCCCUGGCUGUCCAAUGACAUUCGAACAAUUUUCUAUUCUAAUUUUGCAUGCAGUUGUGGACUAUGAGCCGCGACUUUCAUUUUUAGCAUGCAUAACAUUCUAGUAGUAGUUUUAACAAAAAUGCAAUGUUAUAUUUUAAUCAAAACUUUUGCAGCAAGAUUUUUUUAAGAAUUCCAAUAAUUAUGUAACACUUUCUUACGUGGGCUUGUCAAAGGUAACUGAACUAUGGCCCUCACUCAAGUGGCUACCAGAAGCACUGAGCUCAAGUGUCAAAUUAAUUUUGCCAUCUACCUGCCUCCCAAGACUGAGAAUGGGAAGUGUCCUGUCUUGUACUGGCUCUCAGGGCUACGACCAUAGCUACUUCUUCAUCAACGACCACAUUAAGCACCAUGCCAAGUUCCUCAACGCUUAAGACCAUGACUGCUGGACCAGAACCCAACAAGGCAUUCUCCUCUAUACCUUCUCCUCCCAACUGUGCACCUGCUACUAUGCACCUAUCCCUUACAGAGAGACGUAGGUGCCUGGUGAACUGACAAUAACCUGAUACGCCUGGUGAGCUGAAAUGAACACACCUGCUGUGUUGAGUCAAGCUGAGAAAAAUAAAAUAGUGAGAGCAGGAUGUUUGUUAAGAGGAGCUUGCUUGCCACCCACAUGGUCACUCCAACUGGAUAAAAACUAAAAAAAAUGUUACUCCUUUUGAUUACAUUUGUUUCCAUCUUAUGACCUUAGGCUCACACACUGACAUCUGAGACCAAUACAAAACACAUGGACUAAAGACCAAACAUAAGACUGUUUUUUUCAGAUAAGGUCUUUACUCAAAGUGAUGAGAAAUAUAUACAGUAUUCACAGCAGUUACGGUGACGUUAAAGGGGUGUUUCAUGCAAUCAAAUCCAAAUUGCUGUACAACAAAUACACCAAUUUGACAAAAGGUACAAAAUUGUAUAUGGUACAUCAAAAUGCAAAACAAACAUACAAAAAAAACAUCACUUUAAAAUAAAUGUCCUCCCAAUCAUAAGUACAAAACUGAGUACAAGCUUUCAGGACUAUGUACAGAGAAAGGUAGAAAACAACUGCUCAACACUCAGCAGUCAACAGUUACUGUGGUUAUAACAUUUCUCACAAUGAUAUAGUUCAAAUUCAUUUCAUAUUAUGCCAUACACACAUUUCUAAAUCAAAAUGGAGCUCAGAUUUGUUAGUUGCCAAAACAAACAACUAUAAAUACUUAUUUUUAAAGUGCAGAUCAUUUCAGGCCUGUAGGCAGCCACACAGCAACUCCCAAAGGCAGGUUGGCAUUUAUUGUAAUGAAUCUUGCCCUGCAGGCAGCUCUGCAGAGUGGUCACUAGCUGGCACAACCACAAAGUCAUAUCAGAUUUGAACCAUAACCACACUGCUAACCCUAAUGCCCAACCAUAGGUUU